GUCUUAAGAUGCACCAGGGGAGGUUGAGGAAUAAAAGUUCCAGCUCAUCAGCUGCUUCAGGACAGCUACACAGCACAGGACAGCAGAGCUCAUCAGUUCUGCCCUGCAGCUGCCAAUGUAACCUUUACAUCUGAUCUCCCACACUCUUUCUGUACCUUGAGGAAUGUGAUGGAUUUCCAAAAUGGAUGCUACUUUGCCCAGCGGAACUGCAUCGCACAAAUGUUAAGCUGCACCAGAUAACCUCUCUCUGAGUUAUUCUGUCACUGUGAGACAAGCACAGAGGAGACUCCAGGGAAACAGCGUACCCAGGAAGAGAGCCCUUCUUGCAAGUCACCACCCACCUGUCCCAAGCUGGCAAAGCCAGGAGUGCCAGCUCAGUGAGGGAGCGUCUGCACUGGUGUAGGAAGUUCCACGUUUAAUGAAAACUCUUGAAUUUUACAGACUAUUGAGUGGGGGCAAAAAAUGUAAUAAUUAGGAAUUGCAAGCACUUAUUCAACUGACAAAGGCAGCUUAGAUUCAAUUAUUUAUAACACUUCAUAAUGUGCUAAUAAAUGUUCUGUAGUAGCAGGUCUUGAAAAUGUAAUGAAGUCUUAGUAAAAUAAAACCUCAUUAAAGCAUUCAGCUAUUAAUUCUGUGUUGAGGAAAGGAAAACAUAAUCUGUUUCUAUGAGCAACGUGUUUCCCAUAUCUUUUCCAUGAUUUUUGUCUGUCUCAAUUUUUUAUCAACAUUAACUUCCUCUGACUCUUCUUUAUGCCUGCUAGGUUUGCCAGUCCCAUGAAACUUUUUUCAACUUAUCAAUUAAUUCAAAAGCAGCACUGAACACAAAUAACUACCAAUGUGAGUGUGGAGUCAGAAUUAAGUUUGUAUUGGCACCAUAAAUCUAAUUUAAAAUUCAAUUUCAAAUUUAUAAUUUCAAAUGCAUUUCAAACUCAUUAUGCUAGCAGUUUGAAUGUUCAAGACAGGAUUUAUGAUGGGCUAUCCUUCCUCGAGGCAAAGUCUUAAUUUUCCAACUAUUCGCUGGGUGCCUGGAUAUAAUCUUGGAAGAACUGUAGAAUCAGUAAGAAAGAAAAUCUCUUUAGGAUGCCACCCUAAAAAACUUUAAUACAGAAUAUGGAGCUGCCAAUUUCAGCAAAUAGGGAGCAUUAAGCAGAGAGUGUUCUGCUCCCCUCUAGCAUACCUUAGAUUCUUUUUUCCCAUCAAGAUCCAUGGCCUGAGGGUAAGCACCUAUACCUAUUUUUCUAGAGGACAAGGUCAGAUAUAACUUAAUUCUUUAAAGCAAACAAAGAACUGAGGUAGGAGGUAAGACAAUACUCAGACUUUCAUGAUGCUAACCUUCAUUCUGUUCACAGUGACCUAUGGUAGUACUUUAUCAGUUAGCUACAUUCGUCAUCAAUCUACAGCUUGUAGAAAAUACUAUCUGAUGUUAUGAAGUCCUUCAAGAACAAUCUUCAGCACCUUCCAUCAUAAGUGGUACGGCCAUUUUGUCAACCUCUUUUUCACUAAUUAAAAUAUCCUCUAUCAAUGCCACUGAAGAGUUGUGUUCUUUGUAGGAUGAGAAAAAAUUAAAAACCACAUUUUAUUGAAAUUGCCUGUUGUAUGACCAAUAUGAAAGGCUGCAUAGCAAGGUAUAUAGAAUAGACUUAGAAAGCGUAGGGACAUUCUCUUCCUUUGGACUAUUCCAGUGCACCUCAGCCAAAUCUCAUGCCCACUAUCU